GCACUGCUGAAGAGUCCCACGAUAAAACGAAACGGCCGUCCAGUGC
rfam:Schistosoma mansoni strain Puerto Rico chromosome 1, complete genome